CUACGGGCGGCACCAGUCGAGAAUCUUCCGCAAUGGACGAAAGUCUGACGGAGCGACGCCGCGUGCGGGAUGAAGGCCUUCGGGUUGUAAACCGCUGUCAGUGGGGAGGAAAUGCAUCAGGGUUCUCCCUGGUGUUUGACCGAUCCGCAGAGGAAGCGCAGGCUAAGCUCGUGCCAGCAGCCGCGGUAACACGAACUGCGCGAACGUUAUUCGGAAUCACUGGGCUUAAAGAGUUCGUAGGCGGCCUUUCAAGUCGGGUGUGAAAUCCCUCGGCUCAACCGGGGAAUUGCGCCUGAUACUGUUGGGCUUGAGGGGGAUAGGGGUGAGCGGAACUGAUGGUGGAGCGGUGAAAUGCGUUGAUAUCAUCAGGAACACCGGUGGCGAAGGCGGCUCACUGGAUCUCUUCUGACGCUGAGGAACGAAAGCUAGGGGAGCGAACGGGAUUAGAUACCCUGGUAGUC
rnacentral:rRNA from 1 species